UCUAAUCUCUUUCGCACACCGUAAGUUGACCCCUUCAAUAAUAGCGCACAAAAACACAUACACUAAUGGCUCGAAGCAAGAUAGAACAUCUCGCACAAUAGCCACAUCAGAGUGAUUUGAUCAACCAAGUGUGAAGUACCUGGAUUGAAUAGUGCAUGCAAUCCUGAAAGGUGGCACAGGUUGCGUAUUAAGAUCCCUCUAAAACCAUCACCAGCAUCACGUUUUCGAAAACCAGAGGAAAGUGCUUCAAACCACAACCACGUGCAGUCAAUCGGUCCGAGAAGCCAACCAUAAAAGGUAAAGUGCAUAUCAAUGCCUUUUGAUGCAUCAUACCUAGCUCCAAUAUUACAUGCUUUCAGGCUCGGUUGCAUGUCCCGAGCGACUAUCCGGCUCGAUUGUAAAAGCGGUGACAGGGUCUAGUCCUCCAGAUUCGGACACUGCUAAGGGUGACAAACGUAGAUGCCAACACAUCCGACACAGAUUCCACAAUAUACGGUUCACACGAUUGGCACUCGUUGGCAGCCAAAGACACAGAAGGCCUUCAAUAGAAGGCCUUUUGUUUGCAGCCUUGCAUUUGCCGGUGAAUCGACAUCUGUACGCUCGUUGAGCGAGUAUCGCACGGCGAUCCCAAGCUGGUGGUGCAACUUUGAGGUGCAGGGAAGUCACGGGUGGUGCAGCAGAUGAUACGCAUUGUGCGACAUUGAACCGGGUACGACGCAACAAAAGGUAGUGCGACGGAGAGCGUGCGACAUCAAGGAAGUAGCAUCGAUUUGCAGUGUGCAUUCUGCUCGUCCGAGAUUGCCAGGUGAUGCUUCAUGCAACAAAGGCACACUAGCGAAUGUGCGCUGAUAGCGAUAACGACGAUGCACCAGAUGCAGCAG